rnacentral:rRNA from 1 species
CCCUUAGAUGUUCUGGGCCGCACACGCGCUACACUGAAGGAGGCAGCGUGUACUCCUGGAUCGAAAGAUUUGGGUAACCCGCGAAUCUCCUUCGUGCUAGGGAUUGAGGUUUGCAAUUAUCCUUCAUGAACGAGGAAUUCCCAGUAAGUGCAAGUCAUAAGCUUGCGCUGACUACGUCCCUGCCCUUUGUACACACCGCCCGUCGCUCCUACCGAUUGGAUGGUCCGGUGAACUGGUCGGACUGCUGUUUGAAAUUGCGGGUGCAGUUGAUUCACGGGAAGUCUAGUAAACCUUAUCAUCUAGAGGAAGGAGAAGUCGUAACA